AUUGCGCAAAUUCGUUUAUCAAUUAUGUAAGUUAGCGUCAGUAUAAGAGCAUUUGCAGGGAGUGUGAUGUAUAUGUCGAAUUUUUGCAUUUCAGAGUAUUCAAUGAAGAGGUGUGUGGAGAGGUUCUAACGAGGCUAUCAGCUGACGUUAGUGCCGUACUUUUCAGAUGAAUAAAUGAAGAAGAGUGCGCGGAGGUUGAUAUGGGCUGACGUUUUUGCCGCAAGUAUUCAAUGAAGAGGUGCGUGGUGAGGUUGUAACGAGGCUAUCG